AACGCGAAGAACCUUACCUACUCUUGACAUCCUAGGAAUGCUAUAGAGAUAUAGCAGUGUCUUCGGAAACCUAGAGACAGGUGCUGCAUGGCUGUCGUCAGCUCGUGUCGUGAGAUGUUGGGUUAAGUCCCGUAACGAGCGCAACCCUUAUCCUUAGUUACCAGCGAGUAAAGUCGGGGACUCUAGGGAGACUGCUUGCGAAAGCAAGAGGAAGGAGAGGACGAUGUCAAGUCAUCAUGGCCCUUACGAGUAGGGCUACACACGUGCUACAAUGGACGAAACAAAGGGCAGCAAAACCGCGAGGUCAAGCAAAUCCCAAAAAUUCGUUCGUAGUCCAGAUUGGAGUCUGCAACUCGACUCCAUGAAGUCGGAAUCGCUAGUAAUCGUGGAUCAGAACGCCACGGUGAAUACGUUCCCGGGCCUUGUACACACCGAGUAUA
rnacentral:rRNA from 1 species